GACGAACGCUGGCGGCGUGCUUAACACAUGCAAGUCGAACGGUGAAGCGCCUUCCUUUUUGGUGGGUGUGGAUGAGUGGCGAACGGGUGAGUAACACGUGAGUAACCUGCCCCCUUCUUCUGGAUAACCGCAUGAAAGUGUGGCUAAUACGGGAUAUUCUGGGUCUGUCGCAUGAUGGGUCUGGGAAAGAUAUUGUUUCGGUGGGGGAUGGGCUCGCGGCCUAUCAGCUUGUUGGUGGGGUGAUGGCCUACCAAGGCGGUGACGGGUAGCCGGCCUGAGAGGGUGGACGGUCACACUGGGACGGAGACACGGCCCAGACUCCGACGGGAGGCAGCAGUGGGGAAUAUUGCACAAUGGGCGCAAGCCUGAUGCAGCGACGCCGCGGGAGGGAUGGAGGCCUGCGGGUUGUGAACCUCUUUCGCCAGUGAAGCAGGCCUGCCUCGUUUGUGGGUGGGUUGACGGUAGCUGGAUAAGAAGCGCCGGCUAACUACGUG
rnacentral:rRNA from 1 species